rnacentral:rRNA from 1 species
AUUGAACGCUGGCGGCAGGCCUAACACAUGCAAGUCGAACGAGUGGCGGACGGGUGAGUAACACGUGGGAACCUACCCAUCAGAGGGGGAUAACACUUGGCAACAGGGGCUAAUACCGCCUACUGAUGGAUGGACCCGCGGUGCAUUAGCUAGUAGGUGGGGUAAAGGCUCACCUAGGCUACGCUCCCUAGCUGGUCUGAGAGGACGACCAGCCACACUGGAACUGAGACACGGUCCAGACUCCUACGGGAGGCAGCAGUGGGGAAUAUUGCACAAUGGGCGCAAGCCUGAUGCAGCCAUGCCGCGUGUAUGAAGAAGGCCUUCGGGUUGUAAAGUACUUUCAGCGGGGAGGCGUUACCCGCAGAAGAAGCACCGGCUAACUCCGUGCCAGCAGCCGCGGUAAUAC